ACUUCUUCAAAUUGCAUUAAAUUGCUUUGAUCAAGUGUAGUAUCUGUUCUAGAAAGCUUAAUCUCUUUCUGCCAACCCAAGUGGAAAUGGCAUUCUUUGAUUAAUCUAAUUUAUCUCGAGGCUAUGAGAUCAGAAUUAUAUUUGGUAAAUCCUAUAUAUUUCUCAUAGAUGUAUUUGCUCUGUAUUGCAGUUUAUUCAGAGUAUCAAAGGUACACCUCAA
rfam:Polysphondylium pallidum PN500 unplaced genomic scaffold PPL_scaffold12, whole genome shotgun sequence.